UCUAAUACCGGAUAUGACCUUCGAGCGCAUGCUUGAAGGUGGAAAGCUCCGGCGGUGCAGGAUGAGCCCGCGGCCUAUCAGCUUGUUGGUGGGGUGAUGGCCUACCAAGGCGACGACGGG
rnacentral:rRNA from 1 species